rnacentral:rRNA from 1 species
CGUACACAACCUACCUUUACUGGGGGAUAGUUUUGGGAAACUGGGAGUAAUACCCCAUUCGUUUGAGCUGCGGCAUCGCGGUUCAAAGAAAGGUUUACUGGUGAGAGAUGGGUGUGCGUCCAAUUAGGUAGUUGGUAGGGUAACGGCCUACCAAGCCGACGAUUGGUAGCUGGUCUGAGAGGAUGAUCAGCCACACGGGCACUGAGACACGGGCCCGACUCCUACGGGAGGCAGCAGUAGGGAAUAUUGGUCAAUGGACGGAAGUCUGAACCAGCCAUCCCGCGUGCAGGAAGAAGGAUCUUUGGUCUGUAAACUGCUUUUCUCAAGGAAGAGAGAUAGAGAUUAAUCUUUAGAGGACGGUACUUGAGGAAUAAGCACCGGCUAACUCCGUGCCAGCAGCCGCGGUAAUACGGAGGGUGCAAGCGUUAUCCGGAUUUACUGGGUUUAAAGGGUCCGUAGGUGGUUUGAUAAGUCAGUGGUGAAAUUACCGAGCUUAACUUGGGAGCUGCCAUUGAUACUGUUAGACUUGAGUGCAGAUGAGGUUGGCGGAAUGGGGCAUGUAGCGGUGAAAUGCUUAGAUAUGCCUCGGAACACCGAAUGCGAAGGCAGCUGGCUAAACUGCAACUGACACUAAUGGACGAAAGCGUGGGUAGCGAACAGGAUUAGAUACCCUGGUAGUCCACGCCCUAAACGAUGCUUACUAGAUUUUUGGGAUGAUAAAGGUUCAAGAGUCGUAGGGAAACCGUUAAGUAAGCCACCUGGGGAGUACGAUCGCAAAAUUGAAACUCAAGGAAU